CCUGCAGCCCAGACACAGAGGUGGCGCGGUGUGAGCACAGUGUUCUCUCAUGCCCGCUUGGCCACGUGAUGGCUGGUCCUCAGGGCCCCUCCUGGUGUCUGUGGUCACUUCCUGCGCUCUGCACCACCCAAAGGCCACAUUAGGAGGCAGAGGCAGGCAGGAUUGCAGGUGACUUGGACGUAAGCGGUGUAAUAUUAGUGGCCAGGUGUGGCUUGGGCAUUCAAUGUGCAGCCCUGGGUUCACAGAAAGAAGCCUCUGGGCCCUUUUGCAUCCUGGCAGGAGUGAUUUGUGCUGGGAGGCUCUGUCCACCCGAAGAACCCCGGGAAGGAAAGGAGUCUGCUGUGCCCUAGCUUCCCUGCCCUGACUGGAAGGACCCAGUGCACGAUGCUCAGGGUGCAUUAGACCUGGGAACCUGGGCCUGGGAUACCGGGUCUCCAAUGAUAUUUAUUGCAACCAAAGCAACCUGAGGAGUGAAACCAACAAGAAUCAAGCAGACAACCUUUGAGACGCUCAAGUCCUUUACAACACAGGCUCCCUGCACCCUCGCCAACUGGGAUGAGCAGAAUGAAACCGCAUUAAUGGUGAACUGUACAUGAAACUGUUAUUAAUUUGUUAUGAUCGAUACAUUGUGUCAACCUGAGAAGUUUCCAAGUUUAACUAAGAGACUCAGCAGGGAGCCAGGGUCCUUAUUUUUUAAACACCCUCAUUCUGUGAAGAGGAGGGCACAGAGGUGCCGCAAGCACCACCACCACCGGGGUGAGGGGAGGAGGAGAGGCUUGCUCUUCCGCCUCCUGCUUUGUUGCUUUGCCGUCCUCUGCCAUCUGGAACCCCCCCCUCCCCGUUUUGGCUCUGGCUGCUGCCUUGAAGUCUGCCCGGGUGCUGUGCCACCCUGACUUGGAGCCAGCUGAUUAUGGACUGACACACUGUGAGCUAAAUUAACUUCUCCUUCUGUCAUUUUGGGUGUCGGGUAUUUUGUCUCAGCAAUGACAGAAGAGUAACCAAUGCACAAUUCUUACAUAAAUUACAUAAUAUUCUAAUGCUGAA